rnacentral:rRNA from 1 species
CUAGAGCAGGUAAUCUCUACCAAGCAAAGAGAUAAAAGUAUGAAUGUGCUAGCCCUAGGUAAAAUUUAUACCUACGCACAUCCUACUAGCUAGCCUCUUAACCCUGAGGGAUAAACAAGGAUUAGAUACCCUUCUAUACUUAGGACCCUCUAGGCAGGGUAGUAACUAGCUAUGUUCUUCAAACCCAAAGGAUUUGGCGGUUUCUUAUCUAAUCAGAGGAACCUGUAUAGUAAUCGAAGCUACACGGUAGAUCUUACCAGAGGGAGGCCUGUAUACCGUCGUCUAGACAGUUUCAGAAGAAUCUCUCGCCACGGGACACAUUAAUGGCAGAUCAAGGUGCAGCUUACUCUGGCUGGUAUGGGUUACAAUCCAAACAAGGCUGGAUAGCUAGCUUAUAAGCAGCUUAAAAUUGGAUUUGACAGUAAUACAGUCUUAGUAAGGACAUAUAAAGAUGCUAUGAGAAACGUACAUAUCGCCCGUCACUCUCACACUAAAU